UUUUCAUUUUGAAAAUGCUUUAAUAAGUGUUGACAACACUGUUUUGCAAAAUGUAAAGGUACUAUACAAAUUCUUAAUACAAAAAGAAUAAAUUAAAAGCAGAUUUCUUUUUUAAUUCUGCAACUUUGUCUACAACGUACAUCUUUUUCAUUGAUUACAGUUGAACAGAAUCCAGUAAAAUCAUUUUACAUGCUCUACAGUCAGUUUCAGGAGCAACCUAAUCUUUUUUCCCCCAUUAUUAAACUAGACUCCAUUUUACACAACUUGUAAUAAACUAUUGACAUUAAUGUAUAUGUAAAACUUUACACCUAGUUAACUAAGCAGUAACUGGUCGUCUGAUAGCACCUGGAUGGGGUUUGCUAUAUUUAGAACUAAACUAAUACUGAAUGAAAACAAAUUGGAAUUUUAACAGUUUCAACACUCACCUGCAUAUAAUAAAAUAAAAAAUCAACCUGGCUCACAACAUAGGUUGAUGUAUGAGUUUUCACCAGUCUUCUGGCUGAAACAGGCCAUUUCUUUUACGCAUCCGAAGAAUCCAAUAGGGGCUUUAUAUCAGACCAGGGACUUCAUAUUUCACCUUAUUUUGUUUUAAAGGAAUAGGGAUAGAGAGUUUGCAAGUGCUUGUGUAUAAUAACUACAUCAUUUCCCACCACACUGAUCAUUAAUCAUGUCAGUCUCAAAGGACUAACGUUUUAUGUACAUUUUGUAUUAACUGAACUCAGCUAAACAGUAAAACCUGUUUUACUUAAUCUCUGUCUUGACUACCAGACUAUCAUGAUGUUUGCUGGAACUGUAAUUCCUGUUCCCACUCCAUUUCUCUCUGUCCCCCGAAUUGAAAACAUAACCCAAGUCUUUAGAAUUUUUGCCUCUCAUUCCUUGCAACUCAAGUGGGCUAGAAUCUUGAUCCGGUUUUCUCCAGACUAGAUUUCAAGCUACUCUGCAUGGUGUAGAACCUGUAACCACAUAACCUCAUCACCUUCCUUUUCCCUUUUGACUUUUCCUGUUGCACACAGUUCAGUCUGACUCUUCAUGAAUCUUCUUUGGGAGAAAGAAAAAUGGCCCUAUGUAUCAUGUUUCUGAAUGGGGAAGGGAGAAAAAAAAAUCACUGCUCUUUGUAGCUCUAACCAUGAAAAUAAAAGCAAAAAAAAAUCCCCCAAUGAAUCCCUAGAAUCAUUUAAUAAUAUCAUAACCGGUUUCUAUUUGUCCUGCAGGUGUACACUUAAAGCGUUCUGGGAAUAUUAAUCCCUUCUGCAUGCUGGAAUCACCAGUCUAGCCAUGCAUGGAGCUGGGGAAAGCAGGCCCUGAAUCGUCUACAGAGAGUUGGUGGAGGAGGCCACGGCCCGCCUUGUCCCAGCCAGGUGUGUGCGCCCCAGCUCGACUCUCGGUGGUCUCCAGGCUGCAGCAGAAGGAAUACCUUGGUAUUUAUUUCGUUUUAGUAUCCAUCCUUACCCUCCUGGUCUGGUACAGCCUAUGGUUAUUCUUGGAUUCCACAUACAUGAAAAGCGAAGAUUUUUCUUUUCUUUUUAUGCUUAAGCUAACUUCAGUUCUGCUUUCCCACAAAACUACUCCCACCCUGGCUCCUGUCACUGGCUGUCAAUGUCUUUCCAAUAGGAAGUCAUUAGAGUGAGAAAAAAAUUCCACCCCCACCCCCCACCCCCCAACCACUUGCGCCCAAAGCACAGCAACACCACCUCUGCGGAAACCUUUUUGUGCCAUCUUGAAUAACCCAACUAAAGUUGUGCACUUGUUAUUAUAAAAGUAUUUUUGAGGCCUUUGAAGAUUGAUGGCUUUCCAGUUGUGUUUGAAGUGUAGCUUAAAACACAUGUAAACGUGCAGCUCCCACACAUUAAUUUUUGUCUUCUUUCCUCUUUUGGUAUCUGCACACAAAUGUGGUGCAUGACAGUAAGUGAUGAUGUGGACACAUGGGCCCUUUGGGAGCUGGUAUUUUUUUCAACCCUGCUCUGCCUGUUGGCUAGUAG
rnacentral:lncRNA from 1 species